rnacentral:lncRNA from 1 species
GAGGGAAUCGGGGUGGAGUCGAAGGAGAGAAACAAGACUGCGGGAGCACACGCGGGCCGGAGCGACCCUCCGGGGGGCCCCCUCUGGACGAGCGGCUGAGCUGCCCCCCGCGGGACUCGCUCCGACGCACGGAACCCCUGCCGCCGUGCAGCCGAGGCUGCGCACCCACUGCGGGUCAGACGCUUCUGUGCGGUAACACCUUCUGUCCGAGGGACCCCAACAUGGCAACCUCCGACCCGUAAACUGGUACACACCGACCGUCAGGUGCUCCACCCUUCGUGGCCACGCCCCCGCCCGCCCGCAAGUUUCCCGCGGCCCACCCUAGGCUCGCCCCCCCACCUGCCCCCGCCGUCUCCGAGGCCCCUCCUCGAUGCCCGCCUCCUGAGCGCCUUGAUACGCGGCUCUUACGCCCUCUACCGGCCGGAUUCGCCCAUCCCAUGGAGUCCAGGACAGGGCCUCUGAUUUGGAGACCUCCAGCACCCUGGGCCAGCAUCUUCCUGGCCCCUCUCCCUUCCCUUGCCAGCCUGGAGCUCUACCUCAGGAACUGGGGUUCCUGAGAACACAGGCAGUCCAUCUGCACCCCUCGUUCCCAGCACUGACAGACUGCUUGGCUCUGCACUGUGGAGGUGAGUGUGGCUGGAGGAUGCGACUCAGCAGAGAGCCGAGUCUCC